rnacentral:rRNA from 1 species
GACGAACGCUGGCGGCGUGCCUAAUACAUGCAAGUAGAACGCUGAAGGAGGAGCUUGCUUCUCCGGAUGAGUUGCGAACGGGUGAGUAACGCGUAGGUAACCUGCCUGGUAGCGGGGGAUAACUAUUGGAAACGAUAGCUAAUACCGCAUAACAGUAGAUAUUGCAUGAUAUCUGCUUGAAAGGUGCAAUUGCAUCACUACCAGAUGGACCUGCGUUGUAUUAGCUAGUUGGUGAGGUAACGGCUCACCAAGGCGACGAUACAUAGCCGACCUGAGAGGGUGAUCGGCCACACUGGGGCUGAGACACGGCCCAGACUCCUACGGGAGGCAGCAGUAGGGAAUCUUCGGCAAUGGACGGAAGUCUGACCGAGCAACGCCGCGUGAGUGAAGAAGGUUUUCGGAUCGUAAAGCUCUGUUGUAAGAGAAGAACGAGUGUGAGAGUGGAAAGUUCACACUGUGACGGUAUCUUACCAGAAAGGGACGGCUAACUACGUGCCAGCAGCCGCGGUAAUACGUAGGUCCCGAGCGUUGUCCGGAUUUAUUGGGCGUAAAGCGAGCGCAGGCGGUUAGAUAAGUCUGAAGUUAAAGGCUGUGGCUUAACCAUAGUACGCUUUGGAAACUGUUUAACUUGAGUGCAAGAGGGGAGAGUGGAAUUCCAUGUGUAGCGGUGAAAUGCGUAGAUAUAUGGAGGAACACCGGUGGCGAAAGCGGCUCUCUGGCUUGUAACUGACGCUGAGGCUCGAAAGCGUGGGGAGCAAACAGG